rnacentral:rRNA from 1 species
CCAAAAGCUGGCGACCGGCGCACGGGUGAGUAACACGUAUCCAACCUGCCUCAUACUCGGGGAUAGCCUUUCGAAAGAAAGAUUAAUAUCCGAUAGCAUAUAUUUCCCGCAUGGGUUUUAUAUUAAAGAAAUUCGGUAUGAGAUGGGGAUGCGUUCCAUUAGUUUGUUGGGGGGGUAACGGCCCGCCAAGACUACGAUGGAUAGGGGUUCUGAGAGGAAGGUCCCCCACAUUGGAACUGAGACACGGUCCAA